rnacentral:rRNA from 1 species
AAAGCGUGCGCAGGCGGUUAUAUAAGACAGAUGUGAAAUCCCCGGGCUCAACCUGGGAACUGCAUUUGUGACUGUAUAGCUGGAGUGCGGCAGAGGGGGAUGGAAUUCCGCGUGUAGCAGUGAAAUGCGUAGAUAUGCGGAGGAACACCGAUGGCGAAGGCAAUCCCCUGGGCCUGCACUGACGCUCAUGCACGAAAGCGUAGGGAGCAAACAGGAUUAGAUACCCUUGU